CCUACGGGAGGCAGCAGUGAGGAAUAUUGGUCAAUGGGCGUAAGCCUGAACCAGCCAAGUCGCGUGAGGGAAGACUGCCCUAUGGGUUGUAAACCUCUUUUGUCAGGGAGCAACGCCGGCUACGUGUAGCCGGACUGAGAGUACCUGAAGCAAAAGCAUCGGCUAACUCCGUGCCAGCAGCCGCGGUAUUACGGAGGGUCCGGGCGUUAGCCGGAUUGAUUGGGGUGAAAGGGAGCGUAGGCCGGCUGUUAAGUCAGCUGUGAAAGUCCGCGGCUCAACCGUGGAAUUGCAGUUGAAACUGGAGGCCUUGAGUGCAGACAGGGCAGCCGGAAUUCAGGGUGUAGCGGUGAAAUGCGUAGAUAUCAUGAAGAACUCCGAUCGCGAAGGCAAGUGUCCGGGGUGCAACUGACGCUGAGGCUCGAAAGUGCGGGUAUCAAACAGGAUUAGAUACCCUUGUAGUC
rnacentral:rRNA from 1 species